UACGUAGGUGGCAAGCGUUAUCCGGAUUUACUGGGCGUAAAGGGCAGGCAGGCGGUUGGUUAAGUUGGACUUGAAAGCUCCCGGCUCAACUGGGAGAGGCGGUUCAAAACUGGCCAACUAGAGGAUGGUAGAGGAGAGUGGAAUUCCCGGUGUAGUGGUGAAAUGCGCAGAUAUCAGGAGGAACACCGGUGGCGAAGGCGGGUUUCUGGGCCGAUACUGACGCUGAGGAGCGAAAGCGUGGGGAGCGAACAGG
rnacentral:rRNA from 1 species